UAGUAAUACUCCUUUGUGAGUGUUUUUAAAUAGGCAUAGAGAAAAAUCUUUAGCGAGUCAAUUUCUCUAUGCUUUUUAUUAUAUCA
rnacentral:antisense_RNA from 10 species